rnacentral:lncRNA from 1 species
GAUAAUGUCAACGCUUUUCGGAUCAAUCCUGUGCUUGGUGAAUAGGUCUUGGACUAUUGUGAAUAGCACCAUUUCCACUUCUUCAAUGGUAGAACUCAAGGAAAGAUCACAUGGAAAUUGGUGGACUCCCGUGGGCAAGUAGGUUUCGUUGCCAAUACCCGAUCUUUCACUGAUUUUGGUUUGAAACUCAAUUGUUUUGCUGUCAAACUUACCCCAUCUUUCUACAUGUUCUAUUAAGGAGGAGAGGGGAACUCGGAGAGUGUUUGGUGCCUUGUAGCACAUGAAGUCAACAAGAUAAACAUGCUUGGAAUUGAAUGAAAGGUACAAAGCAAUUGCCACCGAGAGAGUAACCGCUGCUAGCACUCUGAAAUCAGCAACCAGG